rnacentral:rRNA from 1 species
UACGAAGGGUGCAAACGUUGCUCGGAAUUAUUGGGCGUAAAGCGCACGUAGGCGGCUUGGCAAGUCGGAUGUGAAAUCCCUCGGCUCAACCAAGGAAGUGCAUCCGAAACUGCUGAGCUUGAGUACUUAAGAGGAUCGCGGAAUUCCCGGUGUAGAGGUGAAAUUCGUAGAUAUCGGGAGGAACACCAGUGGCGAAGGCGACUACCUGGCCUGUUCUUGACGCUGAGGCGCGAAAGCUAGGGGAGCAAACGGG